rnacentral:tRNA from 37 species
GGUACCAUAGCCAAGCGGUAAGGCGUGGGACUGCAACUCCCUGAUCCCCAGUUCGAUUCUGGGUGGUACCUCCA